CAGUGGCUUGACUCUCACUGUACUUCUUACUCCAUUUUCUCUCCAGUUUCUCUAAUUUUCACACUUUUGAAUGCCAGCCUUGCCAAGCUUGGCAUUAUCAAGAGGCUGUGGUUGAUAAAGCAGGUACAAGUAUAUGAGAUGGGAGGAUAUGUUUGAACUCAGGCACUGUUUUAGCAAAAUGUGUUCUGUCUCAGUCAGCACAGGAAAAAAAGCUUUUAACAUUCCCGUUAAGAAGACUCACAGGCUCCGCACACAUUAAAUAACUCUCACAAAACAACAUUUUAAUGAUUUACGUGUAAAUGAAUCAGAAACACAUGGACGACAUUUCUCUUGGAAUACACAAGGGUUUUAAAACUGAAGGAGAAAGAGCUUGGCAAAAUGCACACUGUGCUGGGAAGAGGGCCCCUGCCCAGUAAAGACAUUCCCUCAAUUCAUGCUGCCACGGAGUUUGCCCUCUCCUAAUUUAGGGCAUAUACUGGGAACUGCAGUCAUUUGUUCUGGGUACAGAGGGAAGAGCUUGGGCGAGAAAGCCAUCAGCUUCUCCUUGGAAAGUGUCACAGAGCAAUUAGGCCUCCUGGAAUAAUUUUCUAGCCAUGUUUCUUCAAGGCUGCCAAUGUUCAAUGGAAAGCAUUCGAGAUGUGUUCUAAGCCAAAGUUCUGCCAAUAUAUAGCAGAUCUGAUAUGUGCGCUUCCCUGGGAGUUAGCCAAGGCUCAGAGGAAAUCUGCAUAAAAACAGGAACUACGUGGCCCAGGAAUGAUCUGCAUGUGAUUCAGGACAGUUUUCUACUUGGUUACACUACAUAUUGUCUGAUGCUUUUGAUGAAUCUCCCUGAAGUGUCACUAAGAGAUCAUGGGUCAUCAGGGGUGGGAGGAAUGGAAGGGACAUUAGGCUGGAAACAGAACUGGGCU
rnacentral:lncRNA from 10 species